GUGGGGAAUAUUGCACAAUGGGGGAAACCCUGAUGCAGCGAUGCCGCGUGGAGGAAGAAGGUUUUCGGAUUGUAAACUCCUGUCUUAAAGGACGAUAAUGACGGUACUUUAGGAGGAAGCUCCGGCUAACUACGUGCCAGCAGCCGCGGUAAUACGUAGGGAGCGAGCGUUGUCCGGAAUUACUGGGUGUAAAGGGAGCGUAGGCGGGAUCGCAAGUCAGAUGUGAAAUACAUGGGCUUAACCCAUGGGCUGCAUUUGAAACUGCGGUUCUUGAGUGAAGUAGAGGUAAGCGGAAUUCCUGGUGUAGCGGUGAAAUGCGUAGAUAUCAGGAGGAACACCGGUGGCGAAGGCGGCUUACUGGGCUUUUACUGACGCUGAGGCUCGAAAGCGUGGGGAGCAAACAGG
rnacentral:rRNA from 1 species